UAAUAAAAUGCUCCGCAGGGCGCAGCUUGAUACGAUUGCAGAGGUCGAACCCUGAACAGUUGGGGCAAGUAUGGACACAACAUUCAAGCUUGAUACAGCUCUGAAUUUGGAUUGUGAUUAAAUAUUUGACACAGCAUAGGUUUCUGACACAGAAUAAAUGUGGUCUAAGAACUUAAAAAUUUUAAAUUGGACAUUCACCUAUUAUGGUCCAAUAUCCAAAAUCUAAAUCCAUGGUUAGAUUCAGCAUAUCAAAGAACCCCAAGAAUUCAAUUUUUGAUGAAAUCAAACAAAGUUUAAUUUUGGACCCUUUUGACCUCAAUGUGGACAAAGUUGAUAACGGGGCCCAAAAAUCAAAAUACAUGGUUAGAUUCAGCAUAUCAAAGAGCCCCAUAUAUUCAA